GCGGAAGUAGUUCAGUGGUAGAAUACAACCUUGCCAAGGUUGGGGUCGCGGGUUCGACCCCCGCCCUCGGCACCA
rnacentral:tRNA from 1 species